UCGAAUAAUACAUCGAUCAUUCGACCGAAUUUUCUACCAAUCGAAAGACAACCUCUCUUCAUCUAUACGAUUGCUCGUAACUCACAAUUUAAGUAAUACCUGUAGAUUUCAGGCGAAAGCACAACGGUGUUGCGAUACGAGCUAUACAAAGACCAUUAUUUUUUUUUUUUUUUUUAUAAAUAAACGCAUUAUCUCGUUCGACGAUUCGAAAUCCACGAUUCGAAAUCCACCCACAGUAUCGACGAUAUUUUUUAGUUCAAAGCGGCUCGUCGAGCAACAUCUUUUUUCUAAUCUGAGUUGGGCAAAGUUUGAUUCUUACGAUAAUCCAGAAAUCAAUUCCCAGCAACGACAAAACGUAACAAGUAAUUCGUUAGCUUCUCGGAGGUGAAAACUUGUUUCCUCGUUAGCGCUUGGCGAGAGAAAAAAAAAAAGAAGUGGUAACAGCGUAGCGCGGACCUUCGAUUUUAUCUGAAUAAUGUAUACUUGAUUAAUUAGCGCUGAAAAUCGCCGUUGAGAACCUCGGACGCAUUUGAAAGAGCGCGAAACGCAACAGGAUAUGCAAAUGGAACGGGGGGGAAAAAAGCGGUUUGGUUUAUGAAAUAUUGAUAACUUGGCACAAUCGGCGUCACAAAGCUUCUCGCGUUCUUUUCGCGAGCUCGAACGGAGCACUUCGCCGAGGAAUCGGCGAUUCCAUUCGGGCCUGUCUGCGCCCGAGAUUAACCACGUUCACUGCCAGGCUGAUACUCUUGAAAAUUUCUACCGCGACUUAAUUCUGUUUACAGACUUUUGGAAACUGCGUAAUGAACGAUUUAUUUCGGUACUUAGUUCCGUAACUUCGUCGAAAAUUCAAGUAUUUCAUUUAAAUUCAUUUUCUAUGACACUUAACUUUCAGAAUUAAUAGUUUUCGUUUUUCAGCGAAAAGCACUGUCGCCCAUAUACGGGCGACGUGGCGAUCAACGUGUUAAUCGCGAACCAGUUGGAAUUAACAAGCCUUCCGGUUAGGGCAAGAUACCGCGGGUUUUUAAUAAACAAGAAUGGGUUAGGUCGAAUCAAUUUGUACUACCUGUACAAAUGUUUUAUUCAAUUUUGACACAGUCGUCGGCACGAACUUAUGGGACGACCUAAUAGAUAAGGCCGACGAAUUAAUAAUAACCGCUGAAUUUCGUGGCUAUCGUUGAAAUUUUCUUUGGCGGUGGUCGCUCGUUUAAAUUUCGCUGAUCUUUCUUCGGAAAGGUGCCGACGCGCGUUAAAUUUCAUACGGUUCGCGGUAAGAGGAGCUCCACACCACGGGUCAUUGAAAAACGAUCGUCGACGUACGGGUUCUUAGCUUUCGUUUCUGUCGUCGCAAACGGAAGUAUUCAGUGGCAAGAGACGGCUACGUUUUUCGAGCUUUUCGCCGUGGCUACAGGGUCCGAUGACGCAGCGUUUGUUCUGCAUUCGUCAGCCGACGCGAAUAAACCGAGGUACCCCCGGUUUUAUUAAACGUCGACCAUCAAUGUAGUUCCGAUCAAAAGGAUAGACAGCUUUGUUGAAAUUGUGAACUAUGGAAAUGGAUAAAAUUCAAAGAAAACGGGUAAAAAAUGACAUACCUCAAAAAGUCUCGAGAACGGGACCGCCGCGGUUAAUGUUAUUUUCAUACGAUCUAAACGUAAGAAAAAGCGAAGCCAUCCUGGCUACUGAAGCAGCAAAGAAAAUAUUAUACUCCAUGAUUUUACUCAAACGAAGAGAAACAAAAUUAAACGAUCGAUAAAUUAACGUAGCUAGUAUUUAAAUAUGAAGUAGUUUUUGAAAAGCUACAAAAUGGUAUAUAUCACUUGCGUAUAAAGUUAUUUUAAUGACUUUCAAAGAUUGCACAAACUGACAAAAAAAAAAAAAUAUACAUGUCGAAUUGAGUAACCUCCUCCUUUUCGAAAUCGGUUAAAAAUUCGAAGAGUCCAGUAUUCGAUACUUUUCGUAAGCAUAAUCUCAAAGACAUUCGUUAUCUCUGUUGUUGAUAGGUAGCUUUGUUGAAAUUGUAAAUUAUGGAAAUGGAUAAAAUUCAGAGUUCGGUAUUCGAUACUUUUUAUAAGCAUAAUCUCAAAGACAUUCGUUAUUUCUGUUGUUGAUUUUUUGAUCUGUUGAUUUAAUCCUGCUGUUAGUGUAUAUCAAUUGCGAUUAAUUAAUAAGGCGAAUAAUCAGACGAUGGAUCGCACAGAUUCGAGUUUAUCGAUGCUUAUCUUUCAAUUUGUAUAGCAUUUAUGCGUGGAAUUCUUCUCAAAAGUCAUAGUUUGAAGUCACGUAGGUGGAAGUCAUUGGUAGAUGUAUAAAUAGCGAAGAAAUAGUUCCUCUUAGAGGGUUAACGAAAGAAGUACCCAUCCUGGAUAACAACCAAAGCGAGGAAACGGGGAACUCGGUGUUUUCGAUCGAAGUACCGCGGAUGAAGCUGUCGUGACCGAUGGCGAACAGAACG